rnacentral:rRNA from 1 species
GAUGAACGCUGGCGGAGUGCCUAAUACAUGCAAGUCGAGCGAACAGACGAGGAGCUUGCUCCUCUGACGUUAGCGGCGGACGGGUGAGUAACACGUGGAUAACCUACCUAUAAGACUGGGAUAACUUCGGGAAACCGGAGCUAAUACCGGAUAAUAUAUUGAACCGCAUGGUUCAAUAGUGAAAGACGGUUUUGCUGUCACUUAUAGAUGGAUCCGCGCCGCAUUAGCUAGUUGGUAAGGUAACGGCUUACCAAGGCAACGAUGCGUAGCCGACCUGAGAGGGUGAUCGGCCACACUGGAACUGAGACACGGUCCAGACUCCUACGGGAGGCAGCAGUAGGGAAUCUUCCGCAAUGGGCGAAAGCUUGACGGAGCAACGCCGCGUGAGUGAUGAAGGUCUUCGGAUCGUAAAGCUCUGUUAUUAGGGAAGAACAAAUGUGUAAGUAACUAUGCACGUCUUGACGGUACCUAAUCAGAAAGCCACGGCUAACUACGUG